AAUUCCCUCCAUAAUUUUUCACACAUGGUCCGCCAAUUUUUUUCACUUUAUCAAAACAUGUUUUAUCUUUCUCAAUAGAACAAAAGGUUACGCUAAAAACCCUAUUUCUCUUGCUGUUUCAAACAAACAAGCUCUUCGCAGCUCGUAAUAAAGCUCCAUUUCUCUUGGGAUUUCAGACAAACAAGCUCCGAAUGCGAUUGUGAAAUUUUCUCAAACAACAAGCUUUCAAAUCUCAUAGUGAAAUUUCAAAGGAAUCUGUUAGUGUUAUUUUGUAUUUCGGAGCUAAACCACUUGCUGUUUUGGAGUAUUCUUCUUUAAUUUGGGGAUUUUAAGGUAUAAGAAGAUGGAGGCAUGUGUAACUCCAUAUCCUGAAAUAAUUAAUUCCGAUAGAGUUUCUGGGGGAGAGCUCAAGCCAUUUGUGGAGAGAGUUAAUGCUAUUCCUCCAAGAAUAGCAAGUGGAUAUCUUCCUGGAGUCUUUGUUGAAUCAUUCCAGGAGGACAACAAGUUGUGGAAGAAGCAUGUGAAGGCUAGAACGUAUCGUAAUGCUAAGUUUCUCAGACUCUUCAAAAAAUGUCUACAGAUAUGUGUCUGAUCCUUCAAAAAUAGUAUAUUUUGAAGAAUCUCACACGGGUGCGGCAACAUUUUUAGAUAGUUUGAGCAACUUAGUCGCAAUGUACAAGAUAUGAAUGCUGGCCUAGAAAGUUUUUCUGUAGCACUAGAAUCAUCUAAGGCAUGGGUCAUUAAUGUUAUGCCAACUAUAGAUGAAAGGGACACUCUUGGUAUAAUAUAUGAUAGAGGCCUAAUUGGCAUAUACCCUGGCUGAUAACUAUAUAAAACUCUUAUCAUAUUUUCUCAUUGCACUCUAGCAUUAAUUCCCUCUCCUUUGUCUUAAUUUUCAGGACAGUAAGUUGUAAAUGAAUAAGUAAAGAUAAAAAUGUCAUUGAAACAGGAGUGUGUUACAAUUCAUUUGUCUGAUGUUAAGUUUAUUUUCAGAGAUGGUUCCUUUUCUCGGUCUUUUUAUUUUGUUGGAGUUGCAUCAGAUGUUGUCCUAGUUUAAAUUCUUAAGCAUAUGUUUAGCAAGAUGAUUAGUUUCUCUAUCCGUGACUAUGCAUAUCUUAAAGUUGUUUAAUAAUGAUUACUACUUUUUCGCUUCUUAUAUGUUCUCCACUCACUUGUCGUUGAAACAAAGGCCUUGAAUCUUCAAGUUAGUGAUAGUGUAAUUGCAUUUUCUGUUGAUUUUACUCAUUGAGUAGUUACUGCUUCUUGAUAUAUGAUGUAUAGUAAUUUGUUGAAUCUUCAUUGCAUGUCCUACAAAUAUAAACAUAACAAUUUAUGUUGAAAACAUGAUACUGUAAUGACCUGUUGAACUCAGAAUGGGCAUAGCUAUAUAAUUGUAAGGCCACGUCAAGGUGACAAAAGCAGAACAAAGAUAACAAAAUAACUAGUUAAACACCUCAUCCAGCAUGUCAAUCAAUGUACUGAAGAUAAACACACAACUUUUAUUUAAUUUCCACAAGUGUGUGAUAGGUAUUAAAUAUGACUAUUAAACUAGAAACUUCUAUGAGAUUCCUAGGCUAUGAUUAGCCAAACAGAACUUUUUUUGAGAAGGGAUUAGCCAAACAGAAUUUAUAAACUUCUAGGAUACAUGUAUAUUUCAGUACACCUAGUAUAUAUGAAGCAACACAGAAAAAAAUUAUUUAUUUUUCACAUAGGAAACGGAGAAUUGUUAAGUUAUUUGUUCUUCUAUAUCUGGACCCAUGUUAAGGCAUUUGUUCUUCUGAUUGUGCCUAAUCCCAUGUAAAUGUUAUUUGUUCAAUUUGUUCAAAUAGUUCCCAAGUUAAGCAGCUUUUUCCAGAGACAAUGUACUAUACAGAUGAGGUUUUAUUAUUCAUACCAACUGCGCCAAAAUCAACAUCGUAUGCAUAGUACAACUUCACCAUAACAUGUGUCAAUAAACUAAUAUUUUCGAUUCUUAACUUGUGUUGUAUGUAUUAAAGUCUUGAUGGAAUUUCAUUUUCUUACUAGUUUUUUUUGGCAACUUAGCAUGUAGGAAAUGUAGCUUAGAAGUUUCCUGUAUGCUUCCUUAUUUUGUAUGUGCUGCUGUAAGUUGUAGUUCUAUUUGAGUUUCUUCACGUUUAACCAUCGAACUCUAUCGAUCUCUGCGUUCAUUUUUUUAGUUUAUGUGUAAUAUACGAAUAUAUUAUAUGUGAGUGUGGUUGAUCUCUCUUCUAUUCUAGGUAUUAUCUGAUUCUAAAAUCUGAUAGCACACACGGUAUCAGGGUCCUUAACUACUAUUACAAAUUUACUGCUAGAGUUUCUGUUGUCCUCUCUAAAAUGUAUUAUGAUGUGUUUCAUAGUAAAUACCCAAAUUCUGGAAGUUGAUUAGUGUCACAUGAUAGAUUUCAGGAUGAUUUCCUACCUUCUUUCUGUAGGCUUCUUGGAAAGUUUCAAUUAGAUAAUUUUAUCAAGACAUUGAUAACUAUAUAUGGUGCUCAGACUAUCUGUGCCUCCCCCUUCUUCCAUCCUUCAUCCAAAAUCUUUGAGGCUAGCAGAGAAUCCGAAAGGAAUUAAUGGGUCUGGUACCAAUUAUACACUAACCAGGAUCUGUGUAACCGGCUGGAAGUGGAUCUAAAAGAGUAAUAAAUAAGGAAGAACAGAAAUAAAGUGAAGGAACCAAUUUCAUUGCAUAAACCCAAUUUCUAUUACAUUCAUGUAUAAGACCUCACUGAGCUUGUGAACCUUUUACAGAAAGGUAAAACCGUAAUAGAAAGGUAAUAUCGUAAAUAUAUAUAUAUAUAUACACCCCUGGUAAUGAACUGUUGUCUGUAUAACAGACUAUAAAACACAGUUCACGCUCCUCAUUCUUCUAUACCACUUUCCCCAUUUCCAUUUCCAUUUUCUUUUACUCUCUGCACGAAAAA